rnacentral:rRNA from 1 species
GACGAACGCUGGCGGCGUGCUUAACACAUGCAAGUCGAACGGUAAGGCCCUUCGGGGUACACGAGUGGCGAACGGGUGAGUAACACGUGGGUGAUCUGCCCUGCACUUCGGGAUAAGCCUGGGAAACUGGGUCUAAUACCGGAUAGGACCCUGGGAUGCAUGUCCUGGGGUGGAAAGCUUUUGCGGUGUGGGAUGGGCCCGCGGCCUAUCAGCUUGUUGGUGGGUUGAUGGCCUACCAAGGGGACGACGGGUAGCCGGCCUGGGAGGGUGACCGGCCACGCUGGGACUGAGAUACGGCCCAGACUCCUACGGGAGGCAGCAGUGGGGAAUGUUGCACCAUGGGCGCAAGCCUGAUGCAGCGACGCCGCGUGAGGGAUGCCGGCCUUCGGGUUGUAAACCUCGUUCAGCACCGACGAAGCGCAAGUGACGGUAGGUGCAGAAGAAGGACCGGCCAACUACGUGCCAGCCGCCGCAGUAA